rnacentral:rRNA from 1 species
CAAAAGCGUAUAUUAAAGUUGUUGCAGUUAAAAAGCUCGUAGUUGAACCUUGGGCUUGGCUGGCCGGUCCAUCUUUUUUGUUGCGUACUGGACCCAGCCGAGCCUUUCCUUCUGGCUAGCCUUUUGGCGAACCAGGACUUUUACUUUGAAAAAAUUAGAGUGUUCAAAGCAGGCCUUUGCUCGAAUAUAUUAGCAUGGAAUAAUAGAAUAGGACGUUAUGGUUCUAUUUUGUUGGUUUCUAGGACCAUCGUAAUGAUUAAUAGGGACGGUCGGGGGUAUCAGUAUUCAGUUGUCAGAGGUGAAAUUCUUGGAUUUACUGAAGACUAACUACUGCGAAAGCAUUUACCAAGGACGUUUUCAUUAA